rnacentral:rRNA from 1 species
AGUGAACGCUGGCGGUAGGCCUAACACAUGCAAGUCGAACGGCAGCACAGGAGAGCUUGCUCUCUAGGUGGCGAGUGGCGGACGGGUGAGGAAUACAUCGGAAUCUGCCCAGUCGUGGGGGAUAACGUAGGGAAACUUACGCUAAUACCGCAUACGACCUUCGGGUGAAAGAGGGGGAUCGCAAGACCUCUCGCGAUUGGAUGCGCCGAUGUCGGAUUAGAUAGUUAGCGGGGUAAUGGCCCACCAAGGCGACGAUCCGUAGCUGGUCUGAGAGGAUGAUCAGCCACACUGGAACUGAGACACGGUCCAGACUCCUACGGGAGGCAGCAGUGGGGAAUAUUGGACAAUGGGCGCAAGCCUGAUCCAGCCAUACCGCGUGGGUGAAGAAGGCCUUCGGGUUGUAAAGCCCUUUUGUUGGGAAAGAAAUCUUUCAGGCUAAUACCCUGGGAGGAUGACGGUACCCAAAGAAUAAGCACCGGCUAACUUCGUG